rnacentral:rRNA from 1 species
UACAGAGGUCUCAAGCGUUGUUCGGAUUCAUUGGGCGUAAAGGGUGUGUAGGUGGCGCGCUAAGUCGGGUGUGAAAUUUCGGAGCUUAACUCCGAAACUGCAUUCGAUACUGGCGUGCUUGAGGACUGGAGAGGAGACUGGAAUUCAUGGUGUAGCAGUGAAAUGCGUAGAGAUCAUGAGGAAGACCAGUGGCGAAGGCGGGUCUCUGGACAGUUCCUGACGCUGAGGAACGAAAGCUAGGGGAGCAAACAGG